UGAGGAAUAUUGGUCAAUGGACGAGAGUCUGAACCAGCCAAGUAGCGUGAAGGAUGACUGCCCUAUGGGUUGUAAACUUCUUUUAUAUGGGAAUAAAGUGAGCCACGUGUGGCUUUUUGUAUGUACCAUACGAAUAAGGAUCGGCUAACUCCGUGCCAGCAGCCGCGGUAAUACGGAGGAUCCGAGCGUUAUCCGGAUUUAUUGGGUUUAAAGGGAGCGUAGGCGGAUUAUUAAGUCAGUUGUGAAAGUUUGCGGCUCAACCGUAAAAUUGCAGUUGAUACUGGUAGUCUUGAGUGCAGCAGAGGUAGGCGGAAUUCGUGGUGUAGCGGUGAAAUGCUUAGAUAUCACGAAGAACUCCGAUUGCGAAGGCAGCUUACUGGACUGUAACUGACGCUGAUGCUCGAAAGUGUGGGUAUCAAACAGG
rnacentral:rRNA from 1 species